UGGGAAUCUGCCCUUGGGUACGGAAUAACAGUUAGAAAUGACUGCUAAUACCGUAUAAUGACUUCGGUCCAAAGAUUUAUCGCCCAGGGAUGAGCCCGCGUAGGAUUAGCUUGUUGGUGAGGUAAAGGCUCACCAAGGCGACGAUCCUUAGCUGGUCUGAGAGGAUGAUCAGCCACACUGGGACUGAGACACGGCCCAGACUCCUACGGGAGGCAG
rnacentral:rRNA from 1 species